rnacentral:rRNA from 1 species
UGCGAGUCGACACAGCAAUGUGUGGCAUACGGCUCAGUAACACGUAGUCAACAUGCCCAGGGGACGUGGAUAACCUCGGGAAACUGAGGCUAAACCGCGAUAGGUCACUACUUCUGGAAUGGGUAAUGACCCAAACCUAUAUGGCCCCUGGAUUGGACUGCGGCCGAUCAGGCUGUUGGUGAGGUAAUGGCCCACCAAACCUGUAACCGGUACGGGCUCUGAGAGGAGGAGCCCGGAGAUGGGCACUGAGACAAGGGCCCAGGCCCUAUGGGGCGCAGCAGGCGCGAAACCUCUGCAAUAGGCGGAAGCUUGACAGGGUUACUCUGAGUGAUUUCCGUUAAGGAGAUCUUUUGGCACCUCUAAAAAUGGUGCAGAAUAAGGGGUGGGCAAGUCUGGUGUCAGCCGCCGCGGUAAUACCAGCACCCCGAGUGGUCGGGACGUUUAUUGGGCCUAAAGCAUCCGUAGCCGGUUCCGCAAGUCUUCCGUUAAAUCCACCUGCUCAACAGAUGGGCUGCGGAAGAUACUAUGGAGCUAGGAGGCGGGAGAGGCAAGCGGUACUCGAUGGGUAGGGGUAAAAUCCGUUGAUCCAUUGAAGACCACCAGUGGCGAAGGCGGCUUGCCAGAACGCGCUCGACGGUGAGGGAUGAAAGCUGGGGGAGCAAACCGGAUUAGAUACCCGGGUAGUCCCAGCUGUAAACGAUGCAGACUCGGUGAUGAGUUGGCUUUAUGCCAACUCAGUGCCGCAGGGAAGCCGUUAAGUUUGCCGCCUGGGGAGUACGGUCGCAAGACUGAAACUUAAAGGAAUUGGCGGGGGAGCACCACAAGGGGUGAAGCCUGCGGUUCAAUUGGAGUCAACGCCGGG